rnacentral:rRNA from 1 species
GACGAACGCUGGCGGCGUGCUUAACACAUGCAAGUCGAACGGAAAGGCCCUGCUUUUGUGGGGUGCUCGAGUGGCGAACGGGUGAGUAACACGUGAGUAACCUGCCCUUGACUUUGGGAUAACUUCAGGAAACUGGGGCUAAUACCGGAUAGGAGCUCCUGCUGCAUGGUGGGGGUUGGAAAGUUUCGGCGGUUGGGGAUGGACUCGCGGCUUAUCAGCUUGUUGGUGGGGUAGUGGCUUACCAAGGCUUUGACGGGUAGCCGGCCUGGGAGGGUGACCGGCCACAUUGGGACUGCGAUACGGACCAGAAUCGUACGGGAGGCAGCAGUGGGGAAUAUUGCACAAUGGGCGGAAGCCUGAUGCAGCAACGCCGCGUGCGGGAUGACGGCCUUCGGGUUGUAAACCGCUUUCGACUGUGACGAAGCGUGAGUGACGGUAAUGGGUAAAGAAGCAACGGCUAACUACGUG